AGCGUUAGGAUGGGGGUGACAGGGCCAUCUUCACCCCCUUCAAGACGACGGGUGUGACAGCAUCUAUGUUAGGCGACGCCCUCCUCAGCGAUAGCCUCAUGUGGUGGUCUGAUGGCAACGAUUGUUUGAGCCUGGCGAUGCUUCGAUUCAUGGCAAAAAGGCCGGAUCCAUCGGCAACGCCCUGGAUCCAGGCAGCAGCAAGGCUCGUGCAUGAUGGCUUGGGUAGUGCGAUUUCAUGAGCUGUGGCGUGAGGAGUGUUGCAACGCUGGUCAUGUGGUGGUGACAUGUGGCCACCGACAGCAGCUCUCGUUCACGAUGGGAUAGAGAUUCACCUGUUCUUUUGUUGCCUAUGUCUGCCUCCUCUCAGCUCCCUCUGGGUGCCACAACAAAUGUGGCGUGAUGAUGAGGAGAUCCUGGCAAUUAUUGGUGGAAACAACGUGGUGCUCCUACAAGAUUUCUUCAUAUAUGAGCUGGUUGUGGAUAUGGAGUGGGCAGGAAUCGCUGGCGAAAGCUUUUCCCUACCGUUAGCCAAAUAUGACGAUGGCGGGGGCAGAGCAGAGGCUGGCCACGAAGAAGCAGCGCGCGGCGGCGUGAGGGCAAAGAGGAAGCUCAACCAGCGGUGGCUGUCUCUGUCUGCUAAUCAGAGCGGCGGCGGCCAUUUCCCGUCGUGGAGAUCAAAUUUCGUAGCAAGCAGCAAUGCAUUUGCUCAAGCGGCAGAUCGUCUUAUGUUCGUUGUGACGCCGAACUGCCAGUCGGGGGGGAGGACGUGCCAGGAGGUGGCCUUGCGGUGGUCGCCGGUCAUCACCCUGAACGUCAGCGACUCUCCGGUGAGGACCUCCGACGUCUGCCACUCCUGCCCCCAGUUGCGCUUCAGCGGAGUCCACUUCACCCUCUUGUUCCCCUUCACCGAUAGCCCUGCCACGUCACCCGCCCCGCCCACGUUCGACACCAUCACCAGGUUGAAGUACGGGUUCCCGGUUAUCGUGUACCUGAUCCCACCCACCUUCACACACGGCACCCUACAUUCCAUAUAAUAUAUUAGCU
rnacentral:lncRNA from 1 species